rnacentral:rRNA from 1 species
UGGGGAGUAUUGGACAAUGGGCGAAAGCCUGAUCCAGCCAUGCCGCAUGAGUGAAGAAGGCCUUUGGGUUGUAUAGCUCUUUUAGUGAGGAAGAUAAUGACGGUACUCACAGAAGAAGUCCUGGCUAACUCCGUGCCAGCAGCCGCGGUAAUACGGAGAGGGCUAGCGUUAUUCGGAAUUAUUGGGCGUAAAGGGCGCGUAGGCUGGUUAGUAAGUUAAAAGUGAAAUCCCGAGGCUUAACCUUGGAACUGCUUUUAAAACUGCUAACCUAGAGAUUGAAAGAGGAUAGAGGAAUUCCUAGUGUAGAGGUGAAAUUCGUAAAUAUUAGGAGGAACACCAGUGGCGAAGGCGUCUAUCUGGUUCAAAUCUGACGCUGAGGCGCGAAGGCGUGGGGAGCAAACA